rnacentral:rRNA from 1 species
CACGUAGGGUGCGAGCGUUGUCCGGAAUUAUUGGGCGUAAAGAGCUCGUAGGCGGUCUGUCGCGUCGGUCGUGAAAACCUGCAGCUUAACUGUGGGCUUGCGGUCGAUACGGGCAUGACUGGAGUUCGGCAGGGGAGACUGGAAUUCCUGGUGUAGCGGUGAAAUGCGCAGAUAUCAGGAGGAACACCGGUGGCGAAGGCGGGUCUCUGGGCCGAUACUGACGCUGAGGAGCGAAAGCGUGGGGAGCGAACAGG